rnacentral:rRNA from 1 species
ACGAACGCUGGCGGCGUGCUUAACACAUGCAAGUCGAACGGAAAGGCCCUGCUUGCAGGGUACUCGAGUGGCGAACGGGUGAGUAACACGUGGGUGAUCUGCCCUGCAUUUCGGGAUAAGCCUGGGAAACUGGGUCUAAUACCGGAUAGGAGCCAUUUUUAGUGUGAUGGUUGGAAAGUUUUUUCGGUGUAGGAUGAGCUCGCGGCCUAUCAGCUUGUUGGUGGGGUAAUGGCCUACCAAGGCGGCGACGGGUAGCCGGCCUGAGAGGGUGGACGGCCACAUUGGGACUGAGAUACGGCCCAGACUCCUACGGGAGGCAGCAGUGGGGAAUAUUGCACAAUGGGCGCAAGCCUGAUGCAGCGACGCCGCGUGGGGGAUGACGGCCUUCGGGUUGUAAACUCCUUUCGCUAGGGACGAAGCUUUUUGUGACGGUACCUAGAUAAGAAGCACCGGCUAACUACGUG